UACGUAGGUGGCAAGCGUUGUCCGGAUUUAUUGGGUUUAAAGGGUGCGUAGGCGGUCUAUUAAGUCAGUUGUGAAAUACGGCAGCUCAACUGUCGAGGUGCAAUUGAUACUGAUGGACUUGAGUACUGAUGAGGUAAGCGGAAUGGACGGUGUAGCGGUGAAAUGCAUAGAUACGGUCCAGAACCCCGAUUGCGAAGGCAGCUGACUAGGCUGUUACUGACGCUGAGGCACGAAAGCGUGGGGAGCGAACAGG
rnacentral:rRNA from 1 species